rnacentral:lncRNA from 12 species
CUUAUCCACAAAGUGAGUACUCAGCAAGUACUUUUCAACAAAAUUUUGCUUAUCACCUCAUAAAUCUGAUGUCUAAUUCCCUGCUUUUUCCAUUUCGUUUUGUGUAACAGGAUUUUUUUCCUAGGCUGAAACUUGCCCCAAAAUCAGCACAUUCACACAUAUUAGCAACUGGUACCCAGAAGAGGAAAGCUGGGAUGACAUUGCGAAGCAAUCAGUUACAGCAGAGUUGUCUGCUGAAGGAAGGAGAAGAGCUGUCACUGGGCGAUGUGCAGAGCAUGGCAACUCCCACUGUUGCUAAUGGGAGAAGAGGCUGCUGAACUCCUCUCAGAUUCUGAAGGAGCCAGUGCACAAGGAGAAUCAGGAGCAUGUUUCUGUGAUGGAUGCUGAAGGGCAACAUCUUCCCUGUUUUUUUAUAGCACAAUGUACAAUUCUGUUCCUUUGCCAUAACUCUUCCUCACAUUAAACAGUUUUC